rnacentral:rRNA from 1 species
AGCAUCAAACUUGAGAGUUUGAUCCUGGCUCAGAACGAACGCUGGCGGCAUGCCUAACACAUGCAA